UACGUAGGGUGCGAGCGUUGUCCGGAAUUAUUGGGCGUAAAGAGCUCGUAGGCGGCCUGUCGCGUCGGAUGUGAAAGCCCGGGGCUUAACCCCGGGUCUGCAUUCGAUACGGGCAGGCUAGAGUUCGGUAGGGGAGAUCGGAAUUCCUGGUGUAGCGGUGAAAUGCGCAGAUAUCAGGAGUAACACCGGUGGCGAAGGCGGAUCUCUGGGCCGAUACUGACGCUGAGGAGCGAAAGCGUGGGGAGCGAACAGG
rnacentral:rRNA from 1 species